CUUCAUAGCGCGGUGGGAACACCUUGUCCGGCUCACGACGGCCUUGACUCCAACAAGAUUGUAUUUCUAUACAAAUCUGGAGACAAACACGUUUUGGGUCUCAAACAAAAUCUCAAAUUUUCACCUGAACUUUGUGUUUCCAAAUUCUUUUGGCCUAUGCCUAAGUUCCCUCCUUUUAAGGGAUUUGAUCAUCCUUUCCCUUUACCUCCACCUUUGGAGCUUCCACCGUUUCCUAAACCAUGCCCACCACCUCCGGUUCCGGUGUACGAGCCACCCCCAAAGGUGGAACUUCCACCACCUGUCCCGGUUCACGAGCCACCCCCAAAGGUAGAGGUUCCACCACCCGUCCCGGUUCACGACCCACCGCCAAAGGUGGAGCACCCACCUCCGGUUCCGGUUUACAAGCCACCUCCAAAGGUAGAGCACCCACCUCCAGUUCCGGUUUACAAGCCGCCUCCAAAGGUAGAGCACCCACCUCCGGUUCCGGUUUACAAGCCACCUCCAAAGGUAGAGCACCCACCUCCGGUUCCAGUACACAAGCCACCAACAAUCCCUAAGAAGCCAUGCCCGCCUAAGUCGCCGAAGAUUGAGCUUCCACCGCCAGUGCCAGUUCACAAACCACCGACUAAGAAGCCUUGUCCGCCCAUGCCACCAAAGAAAGUUGAUCCGCCACCGGUUCCAGUCCACAAGCCGCCGCCGAAAAUAGUCCUUCCACCGCCGGUACCAAUCCACAAGCCGCCAAAGAAGCCGUGCCCGCCUAAACCGCCAAAGGUCGAGCUUCCACCACCAGUACCGGU
rnacentral:lncRNA from 1 species